UCCAAUUGUUAUUAUUAAACUAAAUAUUCAUUUGUAAGUGUUUAACAAAUCUUAUUAAUAGUGAUGGUAAUUAACUACCAGAAAAACAAUAUCUUAAUAUUUAACUUUGUUCGAUAUCAUUAAGCUUUGUGAUGACACGGCGCUAACUUAUCUCACUUCGCUUGGGAGCGCAUAUAAUUGUAUAACAGUUGGACUGUCGACUGUGCUGUUCUGUGUGCCGUCUUUUUGUUAUAGUUCGUGCACCUUCAAUUCAAAAUUCCUAUACGGUGUUGUUGUGUGUGUAAUUGCUGUGUUACUAACACCUACGAGUAUUAAAACCACUGAAAACCGUGUAAUGGUAGUGUGAAGCACCUAAUUAUAACAAUGGCAGAUAGAGAUACAGAAAUGGACCUGGAUGAAACAUUACAAAUCAUCGGUAUUGGAGAAUUUACAGCCCUCUUUCAAGCCAAUUAAAGAAUGAAGAAUUCGACAUCCUUGGCAAUAAAAUAGUGGAACUUUUUCCAUGUGAAACGAAGGAAGCCUACUACCUUCCACCAAUAAGAAAGAGGGAUUCACGGGACAAAAAACCGGGAGUUGCACGAGGAAAACUGGUGGAUAAGUUUCGAAAUAGGCUAACUUUCCUUCGAGAAGCAGGAAUAUUACCAUCAAGAGGUGGCAUUACAGACAAAGAAAAUCAAGCCCCUACAGACGUAGAUUCAGAUGAUUUGGUUAAGAACAGUCUGCUUUGGUUAGAACAUAAUCGGGAACCAUUAGAGCAAGUGUACAAACACUGGGAUGCCACAUUCAAUUAUCGGCGACAACAAACUCUAAAAGAAGAAAGAGAAGGGAAAGAAUAUUUUACUCUAUAUCCUGUCUAAAAGU